AUGGCAAGGGGUCUGAAGAAGCAUGUGAAGAGGCUCAAUGCCCCUAAGCAUUGGAUGGUUGAAAAGCUUGGUGGAGCAUUUGCACCCAAGCCGUCUUCAGGCCCCCACAAAGCUAGGGAGUGCUUGCCAUUGAUCCUUAUGCUCAGGAACAGGCUGAAGUAUGCUCUGACCUAUCGUGAAGUUGUUUCGAUCAUGAUGCAGCGACAUAUUAUGGUUGACGGGGAGGUUAGGACGGACAAGACAUAUCCUGCUGGAUUCAUGGAUGUUGUGUCAAUUCCGAAGACAGGGGAGAACUUCCGCCUUCUUUAUGACACCAAGGGUCGCUUCUUCAAGCUCUGCAAGGUUAGGACUGUGCAAUGUGGGCAGAAGGGUGUCCCUUCCCUCAACACCUACGACGGCCGCACCAUCCGCUACCCUGACCCUGCCAUCAAACCCAACGACACCAUCAAGAUUGAACUGGAUACCAACAAGAUUGUGGAUUUCAUCAAGUUUGAGGUCGGGAAUUUCGUGAUGGUGACCGGAGGCAGGAACACCGGGCGCAUCGGGGUGAUCAAGAGCAGGGAGAAGCACGAGGGCAGCUUCGAGACCAUCCACGUCGAGGAUGCCCUCAGCCAUCAGUUCGCCACCCGCCUGGCCAACGUCUUCACCAUUGGCAAGGACAGGAAGGCGUGGGUCUCUCUUCCCAAGGGCAAGGGCAUCAAGCUCACCAUCAUCGAAGAGGCGAGGAAGCGCAUCGCCGCGGCUGCUGCUGAGGCUUGA
rnacentral:rRNA from 1 species